rnacentral:rRNA from 1 species
CCUACGGGGUGCAGCAGUGGGGAAUAUUGGACAAUGGGCGAAAGCCUGAUCCAGCCAUGCCGCGUGUGUGAAGAAGGCCUUCGGGUUGUAAAGCACUUUCAGUGGGGAAGAAAGCCUUGGGGCUAAUACCCUCGAGGAAGGACAUCACCCACAGAAGAAGCACCGGCUAACUCCGUGCCAGCAGCCGCGGUAAUACGGAGGGUGCGAGCGUUAAUCGGAAUUACUGGGCGUAAAGCGCGCGUAGGCGGUCUGAUAAGCCGGUUGUGAAAGCCCCGGGCUCAAUCUGGGAACGGCAUCCGGAACUGUCAGGCUAGAGUGCAGGAGAGGAAGGUAGAAUUCCCGGUGUAGCGGUGAAAUGCGUAGAGAUCGGGAGGAAUACCAGUGGCGAAGGCGGCCUUCUGGACUGACACUGACGCUGAGGUGCGAAAGCGUGGGUAGCAAACAGGAUUAGAUACCCCGGUAGUC